UCCGGGGUCGUCUAACUGGCAGGACGUCUGGCUUUGAAUCAGAAAAUACAGGUUCGAGCCCUGUCCCGAAGCCA
rnacentral:tRNA from 1 species